ACAGGGACCGCGUGCUGGCAGCUUCCAGACGGCCUCCUGCGGGGCUUCAGCCGCCCCUUCUCAGGGAGCUGCAUGUGACACUGCAGCAGCACCGCAGCUUCCUGGUCUGGAAGCAGUACCUCACCCUGCUGCCGGACCUGGUGGAUAAAGUGGCCCACGGGUGUGAAGCCCAGGCUUUUCCCUAGUCUUGAAGCCCAACCCCGGAGGACCUUGCAAGAGAUGAAGCACAUGCAAAACACCGAGGUCUUCACACUGCACCAGCCCCUGCCAAAGUAUGACCACUGUGUGGGUGAGAAGCACCGCUGGGUAGGGCAGCACCUGGAGCCCCAGCUUGUGGAGUGAAUUAUCCUGACAAUGGACAAGACCGUGGUCUUUGGGGACUUGCUCACUGAUGACAAAGAUACCAUUCGAGGCCAAGAGGAGAGGCCACAAUAGUACCUGGUCCUGCCAUGCAUAGGGACGCGGCUGCUCUCCUGGAAUGGUAACAGGGAGAUCAUAGCCAGCCAGCG
rnacentral:lncRNA from 1 species